GACGAACGCUGGCGGCGUGCUUAACACAUGCAAGUCGAACGGAAAGGCCCUGCUUUUGUGGGGUGCUCGAGUGGCGAACGGGUGAGUAACACGUGAGUAACCUGCCCUUGACUUUGGGAUAACUUCAGGAAACUGGGGCUAAUACCGGAUAGGAGCUCCUGCUGCAUGGUGGGGGUUGGAAAGUUUCGGCGGUUGGGGAUGGACUCGCGGCUUAUCAGCUUGUUGGUGGGGUAGUGGCUUACCAAGGCUUUGACGGGUACCCGGCCUGAGAGGGUGACCGGCAACAUUGGGACUGAGAUACGGCCCAGACUCCUACGGGAGGCAGCAGUGGGGAAUAUUGCACAAUGGGCGGAAGCCUGAUGCAGCAACGCCGCGUGCGGGAUGACGGCCUUCGGGUUGUAAACCGCUUUCGCCUGUGACGAAGCGUGAGUGACGGUAAUGGGUAAAGAAGCACCGGCUAACUACGUG
rnacentral:rRNA from 1 species